CGGAUAAGAACUUCCCACUGGUACAGUCUGUACUGUACAGUCUGAUGUACAGAAAUGUCAUCUGAUGAGCGAAGACUUCUUAUCAAAGGAGGAACUUGCGUUAAUGUCGACCAUAAGUUCGAGGCUGAUGUUUAUUGUCAAAACGGACUUAUCAGAGAGAUUGGAAUUGAUCUGAAAGUUCCAGAAGGAACAAGAGUGAUUGAUGCUAACGGCAAGUUUGUUAUUCCAGGUGGUAUCGAUCCUCACACACACUUCCAGCUGCCAUUCAUGGGAACUGUUGCUGUUGAUGAUUUCUAUGCGGGAACACGAGCUGCUGUUGCAGGAGGAACAACGAUGAUCAUUGACUUUGUGAUUCCGGGAAAAGGCACAUCUCUUCUGGAUGCUUACGAAAGGUGGAGAGGAUGGGCAGAUGAAAAAGUGUGUUGUGACUACUCGUUUCAUGUGGCUGUUACGUGGUGGGGAGACCAGGUAGCUAGAGAGAUGGAAAUUCUUACAAAGGAGAAAGGAGUUAAUUCUUUCAAGAUGUUUAUGGCGUACAAAGAUGUGUACAUGGUCAAUGAUGAAGAGAUGUAUCAUGCAUUUGAAUGCUGCAAACGACUUGGAGCUUUAGCACAAGUUCAUGCUGAGAAUGGUGACCUUAUUGUAGAGGGUGCUAAGAAGAUGUUGGAGCUAGGCAUUACUGGCCCAGAGGGUCAUGAAAUGUGCAGACCUGAAGAGGUAGAAGGAGAAGCCACACACAGAGCCAUUGUGAUUGCAAACCAGGUGAACUGUCCUCUCUACGUUGUUCAUGUGAUGUCGCGUAGUGCUUCUGAUGCCAUUCGAAAAGGCAGACAACGAGGAUGUGUGGUGUUUGGAGAGGCUAUAGCUGCUGGACUGGGAACAGAUGGAACAAAUUACUGGCACAAAUGCUGGAGGCAUGCGGCUGGCUAUGUGAUGGGACCUCCUUUACGACCUGAUUCAUCUACACCAGGAUAUUUGAUGGAUCUAUUAGCCAAUGAUGACUUGCAAGUGACUGGAACUGACAACUGUACGUUUAACGGUGACCAGAAGGCAUUGGGCAAAGACAAUUUUACAAGAAUACCAAACGGAGUGAAUGGAGUUGAAGAUAGGUUGUCAGUUAUUUGGGAGAAAGGAGUGCAUUCUGGGAAAAUGGAUCCAUGUCGUUUUGUGGCCAUUACCAGUACUACGGCUGCUAAGAUAUUCAAUAUCUAUCCUCAAAAGGGUGUGAUUGCUGUUGGUUCUGAUGCUGAUCUGGUAGUGUGGGAUGGCGAUGCCACAAGAACAAUCUCUGCUACUACACAUCACCAUGCUGUGGACUUUAACAUAUUUGAAGGCAUGAUUUGUCAUGGUGUUCCUCUUGUUACCAUCAGUCAGGGAAGAGUUGUAUAUGAUCAUGGAAAGCUAGACAUUGUGAGAGGUUGCGGUCGUUACAUUUCUCGUCCUGCCUUUUCAAGUCAUGUUUUCGGUUGUGUUCAGCAGAGAGACAAGAUACCACGAUAUGAAAAAGUUGAACGUGAGCCUUACACUGGACCCAUUGUGCAACUCCCAGCUUCCUAGUGACCAUGUGUGAGAAGAAUUAGUGUGUAGUGUGAACUCGGCCUUACACUAACUGAUUGCAUGUGGGAUGUAUGUAUUUUUUGGCUCAGCGUGCUUGUAGUACUCGAUCAGUUCCAGUUGCUUCUCUUCAUUCGAAAUGGUUUGCUACUAGCCUAGUGUGUAGUUUUAUCAUAAUAGACAACUUGCUUUUCUAAGUGAUCAUGAAGAAU